ensembl:lncRNA
AUGAAAAAGAAAAAAAAGGUUAGUAAGAAACAGAGAAGUAGUAUAAAAGAUAAAAUAAGGGAAAUUAGUAUAGAGUGUCAAAUACUAAAUAAGUAUAUUAAAAACAUAGAAAAAGAAAGGCAACUAUUUGAUUUAAGUACUGUAGUGUUAAAAAAGUAUAAUUUAUUUUUUGAUAAUGAAUUAAAUAAUAAUUUAUGUGUAAGUUUGUUUAAUCAUGUUAUUAUAAAAAGUUGCGGAAUCCUUUUUUCGAAUAAAACAUUUUUAAAAAGUGAUAGUAGUGAAUUCGUAGAAAGAUAUGAAAAUAGUCUUUAUAGAAAAAACGAAUCUGAUACCAAUUUAAGUGUAUAUAAAAAUAAAAGCAUUAAUAGGCAUAAUAGUAAUAAUAUAUCAUGGCUGAGUUUUGAAAAAGAAAAAAAAAAUGAGAAGUAUAUAUUUAGUAAAAGUAAAAAAAUAGUUUUACCAAAAAGAUGUAUAACACACCAUAUAGGUAGUUAUGAUCUGUUGAAUCAUGGACCGGACAAGUUUAAAUUAAAAAAAAAUAACAUACGCUCGAUGACUAAUUUUAAGCGUGAAAUCAGUUUCGAAAAUAAUCAUAUUAAUAAUAACAGUAAUAAUAAAUUACUUUUUAAUUUUAAACAAAUUUCAGAUUAUUCACUAGGUGGUAGUAGUAGUAGUAGUAGUAGUAUUAGUAGUGGUAGUGGAAAUAGGACUAGGAGUACAUUAUUCUAUAAAAUAAAUGAAAGUGAUUUAAGAGGUGACUUGGAGAACAGACUUAAGAUCGAAUGUGGCCUUGGAAAGGGGCUUGAAAAUGGGUUGGAAAAUGGGUUGGAAAAUGGGUUGGAGAAUGGGUUGGAGAAUGGGUUGGAGAAUGGGUUGGAAAAUGGGUUGGAAAAUGGGUUGGAAAAUGGGUUGGAAAAUGGAUGGGAAAAUGGAUGGGAAAACGAAUUGAGAGUGAAUAUAAAUAUGAAUAACCCGAUUAAAGAAAUUUCUAAGUAUGUAAGAGAAGGUAAAAAAAUAUAUAAUAAUAUAAAUAUAUCUAAAAAAAAAAUAGUGGAAAAUGUAGGAGAAAGAGAAAUUAAAAAUUCAUCCGAAUUUAAUUUUUUAAAUAAUUACAAAAGUAGAACUAACACAAAUAAUGCAUAUAAGGUUGUUAAAAGCAGGAGUAAUGUAUAUAAGGCUAAUAGUACAAGUAGAAAUAACAUAUAUACAUAUAAUAUAAACAAUGACAAUAUAUAUAAAGAUAGUUUCGAUAUGGACAAUGUUAAAUACAAUAGCUCAUUUUUAUUUCUGCAAAACAAGCACAAACAUAAUCACAGUUCUUUUAAUUUUAUAUAUAAAAAUGAUAAGUACAAAGACAAAAAUAAUAGAAGUAGUAAUAGCAGUAGUAAUAGCAAUAGUAAUAGCAAUAGUAAUAGCAAUAGUAAUAACAAUAGUAAUAGCAGUGGUAAUAGCAGUGGUAAUAGUAGUAGUAAUAGUAGUAAUAAAAUGUGGGGAUAUGGAAAAAGGAAUGUAACAAACGAACUAUUUAUGAAUAUACAUUAUAACUCAGUUCACACAAAUGGUAAAACCAUGAAUAAAAAUAAAAAAAAAAAAAAUAGUACAAGAAGCCUUGCUGAUGUUUCGCAUACUGGUUUAAUUAGUAGUGAUCGAAGCUUUUUAUUUUUUAAAGAGAAAAAGGAAAAAAUAAAAAAUAAAAAAAGUAAUAUAUUUGUUGAUUUUAUGCAGAAAAUCAAAAAAAAAAUUUCCUUUUUGAUUUAUGAAGAUGAGUCAGAAAAAUUAAAUGAUACUAGUACUAAUAGUUGGGUUAACUCAUGUCAGGAAAGUAAAAGUAAUCGAAUAAAAAAAAAAAAUGAUCUGAAUGUUUUAAAUUAUCUAUGUUUAAUUAAAUCAAAAAUGCAAAUAAUUUAUUUAUGUGUUUGUCCUCAAUGUAAAAAAAAAUUCUAUUUAUUAUUGAAAAAACAAUCGAAUAAAAAAAUGUCACCAACGGUCAUUCGCCCAUUUGAUUUUUUUGUUCUCGUUCAAAAAAUAAAAAAUCAGUCAUCCAUGGGGAUUGACACAUAUCAUGAGCAAGGCAAUGAAGGAGGUAACGAACAAGGUAGUGAACAACGUAAUGGAAAUAAAACGAAUCAUAAAACAAGUCCAUACUUUUGUUUUGACUCUUCUAGUUGUUUCUAUGACACAGUUUGUUUUGAAGAAGAUGAAAAAAAGAAGAAUUUUUGUACUUGUUAUUUUCAAGCGAAAAAUGUUAGUAAUAACUUUUCGGAGUAUUUAGAUAUGUUGGCUUAUUUUUAA